UUGAACGCUGGCGGCAUGCUUUACACAUGCAAGUCGAACGGCAGCACGGGGGCAACCCUGGUGGCGAGUGGCGAACGGGUGAGUAAUACAUCGGAACGUGUCCUGUAGUGGGGGAUAACCCACCGAAAGGUGAGCUAAUACCGCAUACGAUCUCAGGAUGAAAGCGGGGGACCUUCGGGCCUCGCGCUAGAGGAGCGGCCGAUGUCCGAUUAGCUAGUUGGUGAGGUAAAGGCUCACCAAGGCUGCGAUCGGUAGCUGGUCUGAGAGGAUGAUCAGCCACACUGGGACUGAGACACGGCCCAGACUCCUACGGGAGGCAGCAGUGGGGAAUUUUGGACAAUGGGGGCAACCCUGAUCCAGCAAUGCCGCGUGAGUGAAGAAGGCCUUCGGGUUGUAAAGCUCUUUCGGUGGGGAAGAAAUCGCGUCUGUGAACAGCGGGCGUGGAUGACGGUACCCGAAGAAGAAGCACCGGCUAACUACGU
rnacentral:rRNA from 1 species